rnacentral:rRNA from 1 species
ACCCGCUGGACUUAAGCAUAUCAAUAAGCGGAGGAAAAGAAACUAACAAGGAUUCCCCUAGUAACUGCGAGUGAAGCGGGAAAAGCUCAAAUUUAAAAUCUGGCAGUCUUUGGCUGUCCGAGUUGUAAUCUAGAGAAGUAUUAUCCGCGCUGGACCGUGUACAAGUCUCCUGGAAUGGAGCGUCAUAGAGGGUGAGAAUCCCGUCUUUGACACGGACUGCCAGGGCUUUGUGAUAUGCUCUCAAAGAGUCGAGUUGUUUGGGAAUGCAGCUCAAAAUGGGUGGUAAAUUCCAUCUAAAGCUAAAUAUUGGCGAGAGACCGAUAGCGAACAAGUACCGUGAGGGAAAGAUGAAAAGAACUUUGGAAAGAGAGUUAAACAGUACGUGAAAUUGCUGAAAGGGAAACGCUUGAAGUCAGUCGCGUUGGCCAGGGAUCAACCUUGCUUUUUUGCUUGGCUUACUUUCUGGUCGAUGGGUCAGCAUCAAUUUUGACCGGUGGAAAAAGUUCAAAGGAAUGUGGCAUCUUCGGAUGUGUUAUAGCCUUUGUUCACAUACAUUGGUUGGGAUUGAGGAACUCAGCACGCCGCAAGGCCGGGUUUUUAACCACGUACGUGCUUAGGAUGCUGGCAUAAUGGCUUUAAUCGACCCGUCUUGAA